rnacentral:rRNA from 1 species
GCUCCAAUAGCGUAUAUUAAAGUUGUUGUGGUUAAAAAGCUCGUAGUUGGAUCUCAGGGUCGUUCGCGUCGGUCCUUGCUUCAAUGGCUCGGGUACUGCGCGGUGUCGUCCCCCUUGCCAGACCUCUCAAAAAGGUUGCUCUUGACUGAGUGGCCUGCUCGAGUGGCUGGAGAGUUUACUUUGAAAAAAUUAGAGUGUUC